UACGUAGGUGACAAGCGUUAUCCGGAUUUAUUGGGCGUAAAGCGCACGCAGGCGGCAGCUCAAGUCUGACGUGAAAUCUCUCGGCUUAACCGGGAGCGGUCGUUGGAAACUGAGUUGCUUGAGGCGAUGAGAGGGGUGUGGAAUUCCCGGUGUAGUGGUGGAAUGCGUAGAUAUCGGGAGGAACAUCAGUGGCGAAAGCGGCACCCUGGCAUUAGCCUGACGCUCAUGUGCGAAAGCGUGGGGAGCGAACGGG
rnacentral:rRNA from 1 species